rnacentral:rRNA from 1 species
GACGUAGGGCGCGAGCGUUGUCCGGAUUUAUUGGGCGUAAAGAGCUCGUAGGCGGCCUGUCGCGUCGAUCGUGAAAUCCUGCGGCUUAACCGUGGGGUUGCGGUCGAUACGGGCGGGCUUGAGUUCGGUAGGGGAGACUGGAAUUCCUGGUGUAGCGGUGAAAUGCGCAGAUAUCAGGAGGAACACCGGUGGCGAAGGCGGGUCUCUGGGCCGAUACUGACGCUGAGGAGCGAAAGCGUGGGGAGCGAACAGGAUUAGAAACCCCCGUAGUCC